UACAGAGACGGCAAGCGUUGCUCGGAUUCAUUGGGCGUAAAGGGUGCGUAGGCGGUCGGGUAAGUCUGAUGUGAAAUCUCACAGCCUAACUGUGACUGGUCAUUGGAAACUGCCCGGCUCGAGGACUGGAGGGGAGACUGGAAUAGCUGGUGUAGCGGUGAAAUGCGUAGAGAUCAGCUAGAACACCGGUGGCGAAGGCGGGUCUCUGGACAGUUCCUGGCGCUGAGGCACGAAAGCCAGGGGAGCAAACGGG
rnacentral:rRNA from 1 species